AUUGAACGCUGGCGGUAUGCUUAACACAUGCAAGUCGAACGGUAGCAGGCCUUCGGGCGCUGACGAGUGGCGGACGGGUGAGUAACGCGUAGGAAUCUGCCUCAUAGUGGGGGACAACGUGUGGAAACGCACGCUAAUACCGCAUACGCCCUACGGGGGAAAGCGGGGGACCUUUGGGCCUCGCGCUAUGAGAGGAGCCUGCGUUAGAUUAGCUAGUGGGUGGGGUAAAGGCCUACCAAGGCGACGAUCUAUAGCUGGGCUGAGAGGACGAUCAGCCACACUGGGACUGAGACACGGCCCAGACUCCUACGGGAGGCAGCAGUGGGGAAUAUUGGACAAUGGGCGCAAGCCUGAUCCAGCAAUACCGCGUGUGUGAAGAAGGCCCUAGGGUUGUAAAGCACUUUCAAUAGGGAGGAAAACCUGCCGGUCAAUACCCGGUAGCUUGACAUUACCUAUACAAGAAGCACCGGCUAACUCCGUGCCAGCAGCCGCAGUAAGAC
rnacentral:rRNA from 1 species